CGGCCUUCGGGUUGUAAACCUCUUUCAGUAGGGAAGAAGCGAAGGUGACGGUACCUGCAGAAGAAGCGCCGGCUAACUACGUGCCAGCAGCCGCGGUAAUACGUAGGGCGCAAGCGUUAUCCGGAAUUAUUGGGCGUAAAGAGCUCGUAGGCGGUUUGUCGCGUCUGCCGUGAAAGUCCGGGGCUCAACUCCGGAUCUGCGGUGGGUACGGGCAGACUAGAGUGAUGUAGGGGAGACUGGAAUUCCUGGUGUAGCGGUGAAAUGCGCAGAUAUCAGGAGGAACACCGAUGGCGAAGGCAGGUCUCUGGGCAUUAACUGACGCUGAGGAGCGAAAGCAUGGGGAGCGAACAGGAUUAGAUACCCUGGUAGUCCAUGCCGUAAACGUUGGGCACUAGGUGUGGGGGACAUUCCACGUUUUCCGCGCCGUAGCUAACGCAUUAAGUGCCCCGCCUGGGGAGUACGGCCGCAAGGCUAAAACUCAAAGGAAUUGACGGGGGCCCGCACAAGCGGCGGAGCAUGCGGAUUAAUUCGAUGCAACGCGAAGAACCUUACCAAGGCUUGACAUGGACCGGACCGCCGCAGAAAUGUGGUUUCUCCUUUUGGGGCCGGUUCACAGGUGGUGCAUGGUUGUCGUCAGCUCGUGUCGUGAGAUGUUGGGUUAAGUCCCGCAACGAGCGCAACCCUCGUUCCAUGUUGCCAGCA
rnacentral:rRNA from 1 species